GGGGUGACGGUACCUGCAGAAGAAGUACCGGCUAACUACGUGCCAGCAGCCGCGGUAAUACGUAGGGUACAAGCGUUGUCCGGAAUUAUUGGGCGUAAAGAGCUCGUAGGUGGUUGGUCACGUCUGCUGUGGAAACGCAACGCUUAACGUUGCGCGUGCAGUGGGUACGGGCUGACUAGAGUGCAGUAGGGGAGUCUGGAAUUCCUGGUGUAGCGGUGAAAUGCGCAGAUAUCAGGAGGAACACCGGUGGCGAAGGCGGGACUCUGGGCUGUAACUGACACUGAGGAGCGAAAGCAUGGGGAGCGAACAGGAUUAGAUACCCUGGUAGUCCAUGCCGUAAACGUUGGGCACUAGGUGUGGGGGACAUUCCACGUUCUCCGCGCCGUAGCUAACGCAUUAAGUGCCCCGCCUGGGGAGUACGGUCGCAAGGCUAAAACUCAAAGGAAUUGACGGGGGCCCGCACAAGCGGCGGAGCAUGCGGAUUAAUUCGAUGCAACGCGAAGAACCUUACCAAGGCUUGACAUACACCAGACCGUUCUGGAAACAGUUCCUCCCCUUUGGGGUUGGUGUACAGGUGGUGCAUGGUUGUCGUCAGCUCGUGUCGUGAGAUGUUGGGUUAAGUCCCGCAACGAGCGCAACCCUCGUUCUAUGUUGCCAGCACGUGAUGGUGGGAACUCAUAGGAGACUGCCGGGGUCAACUCGGAGGAAGGUGGGGAUGACGUCAAAUCAUCAUGCCCUUUAUGUCUUGGGCUUCACGCAUGCUACAAUGGCUGGUACAGAGAGAUGCGAGACCGCGAGGUUUUAGCGAAUCCCUUAAAGCCAGUCUCAGUUCGG
rnacentral:rRNA from 1 species